CCUACGGGAGGCAGCAGUGAGGAAUAUUGGUCAAUGGGCGCGAGCCUGAACCAGCCAAGUCGCGUGAGGGAAGACGGUCCUAGGGAUUGUAAACCUCUUUUGUCGGGGAGCAAAAGACGCCACGCGUGGCGUUCCGAGAGUACCCGAAGAAAAAGCAUCGGCUAACUCCGUGCCAGCAGCCGCGGUAAUACGUAGGUGGCAAGCGUUAUCCGGAUUUAUUGGGUUUAAAGGGUGCGUAGGCGGUCCGUUAAGUCAGCGGUAAAAUUGCGGGGCUCAACCCUGUCGAGCCGUUGCAACUUG
rnacentral:rRNA from 1 species